rnacentral:lncRNA from 1 species
AUAUAUUAUCUCGUUAAAAAGAAAACAAAAAAACAAAAAAACAUUUGAGUUCAAUUUCAGAUCAAUAUAAUUGGUCUAUUUUAUUAGCGAAUCGUUGAAUUUGUAAGACUCGUCCAAGUAAUGCCAAUAUGACAAUGGAUCCGACCCGUUCCUUCGUUGCAAAGCUUUCGAUAGAAUGGCGGACCAGUUUACUGUACAAGAAGAAUACUUUAUCGAUCACCAAUUUUAAAUUUUUUUUGUUGACAUUCACCCCACAUACACC